rnacentral:rRNA from 1 species
ACUACGGGAGGCAGCAGUGGGGAAUAUUGGGCAAUGGGCGCAAGCCUGACCCAGCAACGCCGCGUGAAGGAAGAAGGCUUUCGGGUUGUAAACUUCUUUUCUCAGGGACGAAGAAAGUGACGGUACCUGAGGAAUAAGCCACGGCUAACUACGUGCCAGCAGCCGCGGUAAUACGUAGGUGGCAAGCGUUAUCCGGAUUUAUUGGGUGUAAAGGGCGUGUAGGCGGGAGCGUAAGUCAGAUGUGAAAACUCAGGGCUCAACCCUGAGCCUGCAUUUGAAAAUGUGUUUCUUGAGUGCUGGAGAGGCAAUCGGAAUUCCGUGUGUAGCGGUGAAAUGCGUAGAUAUACGGAGGAACACCAGUGGCGAAGGCGGAUUGCUGGACAGUAACUGACGCUGAGGCGCGAAAGCGUGGGGAGCAAACAGGAUUAGAUACCCCAGUAGUC